AGAUUACAAAGAUUCCUUUGCCAGACCUUCCUCUGAGCAGAAACUCAAACCCAGCAGCAGAUCAGAGAAGCAAGUUGCUGAAGACAGAGCCUUGGUCUCUGAAUCCUGAAAAGCCAGACUCCAAGAAAUGAGGGAAUUAUUCAGAGGAGGCUGCCUGCAUUUCAAUAAAACUUAUCAUGCAUAA